UCAUGAAUGUGGAACCCUCAUGAAUGGAAUUAGUACCCUUAAAAGAAGACACACGAGAGAGCUUGCUUCCUCCCUCUCUGGUCCCUUGCUGUGAGGACAGAGCAAGAAGACGGCCAUCUUCAAACCAGGAAGAGGGUCCUCACCAGAACCUGACCAUGCUGGCACCCUGAUUUCGAACUUACUGGCCUCCAGAAUUCUCCAGGCUAGUAGAAAAUUCAGAUCUACUUAAACAUAAAAUCAAGACAAAAUUGGCCUUCACCUGACUGCUUUCUGUGCCUCUCACAAGAUGGAAAGGUGUCUUACGCACUGGGCCUUGCUGUCCCAUCUGUACCCUCUGUCCUGCUGUUCCAGGGAAGGCGGGAAGGAGAGAGAUAAAGAGAAAAGGAGAAGAAGAAACUGAGCAAAGUGUACCAAGUGAGAAAUGUGAACUUGGCUUACUACAUGGUUUGGGAUCUCUUUUCCUGGGAAUUCUUCCCAGGGAAAGAAAGGAAGCACUGACCAAGGAGGAAGACCAUGGAGGGACCAGGUGGGUCUCAGCUGCUGGGCACACUGUGUGUCCCUAGCCUGGCUCCCAGGCAGGCCUUGGUCUCCAAGGCUCGUGGCCCAUCUCGUCAUGGCAGCUCUUCCACUCCAAGAGUCCAGCUGCUGGUAGAGUGCGGGCUGAAGGCGGUGUGAGGGAGGCUGGCCUGGAGAGCUGGGGACAAUGUUCCCAUAGGCGUAUCAGAGACCAUUCAGUUCAGACCUAGGAAAGACUUCUCCAGCCCCUCAAACUUUCCCCUAAUUGAUCCAGAGGGUAAGAAAAGACAUGGAUAACUGUGCAUUCAUAUCCAAAUCCUCAAAUCUUUUAAACUUGAAGGCACACCCCAUUUGCAAAAGAUCUACCUUAUUUGCCUCCCUGAGGACUGU